GACCAGACUCCUACGGGAGGCAGCAGUAGGGAAUAUUGCUCAAUGGGGGAAACCCUGAAGCAGCAACGCCGCGUGGAGGAUGAAGGUUUUCGGAUUGUAAACUCCUUUUGUUAGGGAAGAUGAUGACGGUAUCUAACGAAUAAGCACCGGCUAACUCCGUGCCAGCAGCCGCGGUAAUACGGAGGGUGCAAGCGUUACUCGGAAUCACUGGGCGUAAAGAGUUCGUAGGCGGCAUGUAAAGUCAGGUGUUAAAGGCGCAGGCUCAACCUGUGUAUGGCACUUGAUACUUGCAAGCUGGAAUGCGGUAGAGGUAAAGGGAAUUCCUGGUGUAGCGGUGAAAUGCUUAGAUAUCAGGAGGAACAUCGGUGGCGUAAGCGCUUUACUGGGCCGUAAUUGACGCUGAGGAACGAAAGCCAGGGUAGCAAAUGGGAUUAGAUACCCUAGUA
rnacentral:rRNA from 1 species